GUGUCAGCAGCCGCGGUAAUACGUAGGGUGCGAGCGUUAAUCGGAAUUACUGGGCGUAAAGCGUGCGCAGGCGGUUGUGUAAGCCAGACGUGAAAUCCCCGGGCUUAACCUGGGAAUGGCGUUUGGGACUGCACGGCUCGAGUAUGGCAGAGGGGACUAGAAUUCCUGGUGUAGCAGUGAAAUGCGUAGAUAUCAGGAGGAAUACCGAUGGCGAAGGCAGGUCCCUGGGUUAAUACUGACGCUCAUGCACGAAAGCGUGGGGAGCAAACAGGAUUAGAUACCCGCGUAGUCC
rnacentral:rRNA from 1 species